rnacentral:rRNA from 1 species
CCUACGGGCGGCAGCAGUAGGGAAUCUUGCACAAUGGGCGAAAGCCUGAUGCAGCAACGCCGCGUGAAGGAUGAAGGCCUUCGGGUUGUAAACUUCUGUUCUAAGGGAAGAAACAAAUGACGGUACCUUAGGAGCAAGCCCCGGCUAACUACGUGCCAGCAGCCGCGGUAAUACGUAGGGGGCAAGCGUUAUCCGGAAUUAUUGGGCGUAAAGAGUGCGUAGGUGGUUACCUAAGCGCAAGGUUUAAUUUAGAGGCUCAACCUCUACUUGCCUUGCGAACUGGGCUACUUGAGUGCAGGAGGGGAAAGCGGAAUUCCUAGUGUAGCGGUGAAAUGCGUAGAUAUUAGGAGGAACACCAGCGGCGAAGGCGGCUUUCUGGACUGUAACUGACACUGAGGCACGAAAGCGUGGGUAGCAAACAGGAUUAGAUACCCCGGUAGUC